rnacentral:rRNA from 1 species
GAUGAACGCUGGCGGCGUGCCUACACAUGCAGGUCGAACGAAGCUUGACGGAUGAUUUCUUCGGAAUGAAACCAGAUAUGACUUAGUGGCGGACGGGUGAGUAACACGUGAGCAACCUGCCUUUCAGAGGGGGAUAACGGCUGGAAACGGUCGCUAAUACCGCAUGAUGUGUUCGGAUGGCAUCAUCUGAACAUCAAAGAUUUAUCGCUGAAAGAUGGGCUCGCGUCUGAUUAGAUAGUUGGUGGGGUAACGGCCUACCAAGUCUACGAUCAGUAGCCGGACUGAGAGGUUGAACGGCCACAUUGGGACUGGGAUACGGCCCAGACUCCUACGGGGGGCAGCAGUGGGGAAUAGUGCACAAUGGGGGAAACCCUGAUGCAGCAACGCCGCGUGAAGGAUGACGGUUUUCGGAGUGUAAACUUCUUUUCUUAGUGACGAAGACAGUGACGGUAGCUAAGGAAUAAGCAUCGGCUAACUACGUG